rnacentral:misc_RNA from 1 species
UUGCUUUUCAUUUUGUUUUGGGUACAUCAGGCUUCAGAUUCUCGUUGCAGAGUAAAAUACGUUACGGCCGGCGGCGGGCAGGUCCAGCCUACCUCUUCCGCCGAAGUUAAGGUUCGUCAGGGCGGCAGCGGCAGCGCGGGCCGCUCCGGAUCCACCCUCUCGGGCACGAUCCGUCACAAGCCACACACACAUCACACCAACCGUUCCUCCCCAACGUGCAAAUGACAAUAGGUCGGGUUCUCCCCAGCUUGCGCCGGGAAACCUCAGUAAUGAUCCUUCCGCAGGUUCACCUACGGAAA